rnacentral:rRNA from 1 species
UAACCUGCCUUAUAUGGGGGAUAGCCUUUCGAAAGGAAGAUUAAUACCGCAUAAGAUUGUAGUAUCGCAUGAUAUAGCAAUUAAAGGAGCAAUUCGCUAUAAGAUGGACCCGCGUCGCAUUAGCUAGUUGGUGAGGUAAUGGCUCACCAAGGCGACGAUGCGUAGCCGACCUGAGAGGGUGAUCGGCCACAUUGGGACUGAGACACGGCCCAGACUCCUACGGGAGGCAGCAUG